UACGUAGGUGGCAAGCGUUGUCCGGAUUUACUGGGCGUAAAGGGCGUGCAGGCGGUCUGUUAAGUGCAGGGUGAAAGCUCCCGGCUCAACUGGGAGAGGUCCUUGCAUACUGGCGAACUCGAGGGAGGCAGAGGAAAGCGGAAUUCCUAGUGUAGCGGUGAAAUGCGUAGAUAUUAGGAGGAACACCAGUGGCGAAGGCGGCCUGCUGGACGAUGACUGACGUUGAGGCUUGAAAGCGUGGGGAGCAAACAGG
rnacentral:rRNA from 1 species